UUUCAUUUUCCCCUCCGCUGUUAUAUCGACGCCCACCAUUAGCUAGCCUAGCAGCCCAGCACCACCACCAUCUUCCGCUCUCUCCCCAUCUCCUCCGCUGUCUCUCGCUGUCCCGGCCUAGGGUUUCGCCUCCACCCGCAGCACGCCUCAGAUCUAGACGCCGACGACCCCCGAUCCUACUCCGUCGCCCGACGCCGAUCCCGUCGAGCUCCGGUUCGCCACUCCCCUCGCGCCUCACCGCCUCGUGCUCCAGCUUCUGGACGCGCGCGGGGGGCAGAUCUAGGGUUCGGAUCCUCGCUUGGUGCAUGAGAAGGGCACUGGGGUCUUGAACGCAUGGAGGUGGAGCCGGCGAGGAGGGACGCGGCGGCGUUGGACCCGGAGCUGCUGCAGCUGCCGGAGCUCGCGCCGGGCGCGCUCCGGGAGAACUCGAGCAUAGCCGAGGCGCUCUACACGCAGUGGCUCGUGCUGCCCGAGUCGUCCAAGCUGGUGAAGUGUUUGAUUGAAGAUGCAAAAACCGGUGCCACACUGAAUGCUUCUGGGAGCUCUGCUAGCACAAAUGCUGCUUCAAGUAGUUCUUUGCCGUCGAUGUUCCCUGCUGGCAGUGCUCCUCCGCUUUCACCUAGGAGCACCGCUGGCUCUCCUCGUGUUAUGCGACGAGCAUCUGGAGCUGGACCAUCAUCCUUGGGAUCUCCACUAAAAUUAGUUAGUGAACCUGUGAGAGAGGUUAUACCUCAGUUUUACUUCAAAAAUGGGCGGCCUCCACCAAAAGAUUUGCGGGAGCAGUGCUUGUCUAGACUAGAUCACCUCUUUUUUGCCGGGGAGGGACUCCAGCUUCAAGAAUUCAGAACGGUCCUAAAAGACAUAUGCAAGUUACCAUCAUUCCUCUCUGGGGUUCUUUUCAAGAAGAUCGACGUUGCAUGCUCUGGAACUGUAACAAGGGAUGCAUUUGUUGAUUACUGGAUUAAUGACAAUAAGAUUACAAUGGAUACAGCUAGCCAGAUAUUUGAAGUAUUAAGACAACCGGGUUACAAUUAUCUCACUCAGGAGGAUUUUAAGCCUGUCCUAAAAGAGCUCCUGGCAACUCACCCAGGCUUAGAGUUCCUACAAGGCACUCCUGAAUUUCAGGACAGAUAUGCGGAGACUGUGAUAUACAGAAUCUUUUACUCCAUAAAUAGAUCUGGAAAUGGCCAUCUUACCCUUAGAGAGCUAAAACGUGGGAAUUUAGUAGCUGCAAUGCAGCAACUCGAUGAGGAAGAGGAUAUUAACAAAGUGUUGAGAUACUUCUCAUAUGAGCAUUUUUAUGUGAUGUACUGCAAAUUUUGGGAGCUGGACUCAGAUCAUGAUUUUUUGAUUGAUAAAGAGAACCUCAUCAAAUAUGGAAAUCAUUCCUUGACCUACAGAAUAGUUGAUAGAGUCUUUUCACAGGUCCCAAGGAAGUUCACAAGCAUGACAGAAGGAAAGAUGGGUUAUGAAGAUUUUGUUUACUUUAUUUUGUCAGAAGAAGAUAAAUCAUCUGAGCCUAGCCUUGAGUACUGGUUUAAGUGCAUUGAUCUUGAUGGCAAUGGUAUUUUAACUACCAAUGAAAUGCAGUUUUUCUAUGAGGAGCAGUUGCAUCGUAUGGAGUGCAUGGGACAGGAACCUGUGCUGUUUGAGGACAUACUAUGCCAAAUGAUUGAUAUGAUUGGACCAGAGAAUGAGACCUAUUUUACACUGCGGGACUUAAAGCGGUGUAAACUUUCAGGAAAUAUAUUCAAUAUCCUAUUCAAUCUCAAUAAAUUUAUGGCAUUUGAAACUCGUGAUCCAUUCCUGAUUCGCCAGGAGCGUGAAAAUCCAACUCUAACAGAGUGGGAUCGGUUCGCCCAUAGGGAAUAUAUUAGGUUGUCGAUGGAAGAGGACGGUGAAGAUGCUUCAAAUGGAAGUGGUGAUGUGUGGGAUGAGUCACUUGAAGCUCCAUUUUGAAUGUAACUAGUAUUCUGAUUAUGGUGGCCACCUGCCUGCUAUCAAGGUUCAUAACUCCCAGUCCCUGGGUUACCACACGUCUAUCUUUGUAUCUCAUAUAAGCUGGUCAAAGAUGCAGUUGGGAUGACUUCUGCAUGGUAUUUCAACUUUCUUGCAUCUUUGCUGCCAUAAUAAUGAUUUUUAUUAAGUUGAAGCUUCUACAAGUUAUAGGAUAGGCGUCACAUUGGAUGGCUUAGGGCAUCUGCAGUCCUGGUCUCCCUGCAUUGGUUUGAUAUGAAUGAAAUUUGUUGGGAAGUCGAAGAAAUGUAAAGAUUUUGGCUAGCCUGCGGAUGUCAUUACAGGCUCACAGCAGUUUCAGUAACACCAAAGACUACUUAUGAGUUUUACUGUGCAGGUCCGAUUCAAUGUUAUCAGUUGUCCAGUUGUGCAAACAUUUUUGUUUGGCAGGAAGAAUGCGGAAGUUGAUGUGGUCCUCCUGCAUGUUGACACAGCAACAACCUCAAUAGUCUCAAAUGAUGUUAAAGUGGAGGGGGACAUCCACCUAUUUCCCUUUGUGUUCAGAUUAUUGCUUUAAGGGGGAUGCCAGUUUAUUCAAUUGCUGUGCUCAAAUUUUGGAGCUAAACUGUUCAUGUUUGGCUGCCAUUUUUCUUUGUUAACGUGGAAGUGAGAGCAAGCAAUUCCAUCAUUAACUUCGGUCAUGGUAUGUAGCUUUCUGGUUCUGUUCAGUUCAGUUUGGUGUUUUGUGGUGAUCUCGGUACAUUUUGGGAUUAUAGACAGACCAAGACAUCGAUAUCAUUUGUAACAUUAACUGUGCAUGGGGUGCAUAAAAUUCAAACAGAAAGGUAGAUUCCAUUGUCAAUCCAACUUUCAUUUGCAACUCAGUGGAUGUUUUAGUUU